ensembl:lincRNA
UUGUAUAAUCCUUUAGUCUAUUUGGCCGUGAGACGGAGAGUGCUUACCCUUCAUAAUGUCGCUGAGACCUUCGCCUGUGGGCUCCCAAGUAGACACUGUCUCUGCUGGUUGGAACGUGUGAACAGCCUGAUUUCUUUCCUCUUCUGAUCUUGUCUUUAGCAAUAGUCUGGUUGGGAGCACAAGUCUUUGGAGUUUUCAAUCCCACUGUCCUGAGUGUAAAAUAGAGUUAUGCAACAGUGUUGGUGUUGCAGCUAGGCAAAGAAAUAUCCACGAACUUCCCUCACACACCUGCAACUGCAGUGCCCUGGUGAGAUGUAGAGGAUUCCAAAGAACAUGCACAAAGGCACUUACCUAAUUAGGUGACUUGUAUAGAUUCUCCUGAAAACUUUAUUUGCAAUGACAGAGAUUUCAGUGGACACUGCCUAAAGGGUACACAAUGAUGACACCAAGAAGUGGCCUCCCUUCGGAAAUUCCUGCUUCCAUGGAAGAAAUUCAGAAGGCAAUCGCAGAUCAGUUUAUUUCCUGUACGAAGAGAGACUUCGUGGACGUAGCCAAAGAACAAAAGAAUAAGAAAAGUCCUCAGGUGUCCCUGGAGUGGAAAAAGUUCCUUCCCCGGCCUCUAGACACUGAAUUUCGACGGAAUUACCAAAUUCCAGUUAAAAUUCCUGAGUUGCAGGACUUUACUUUCCGAUAUGGAUGCUACUCAAGCCUGCGAAUUCCUUCUCGGGGUCUGGUUCCCUCUGUGCUGCACAGUUACAUGAGGAAUCAAGAACGGACGAAGCAGCAGACCAUGUACCAAAGUGAAUACGGGAAAGCCUACCUGGACUUCCUAACGAUCCUGAACUCCUUUACUCCUGCUCAAAUCGAUGAGUACCUUCAGAGUGUUUCCGACAAAGACAGACAAAUACUUGAGCGCUUUAUCCGUUCUCACUGUGAUAUCAACAAAGAGAAGAAAUGAAAAUAGUUUGGAUGAAGAAAACCUGAAGAUUCAUGGAACACAAGAGCCUAUCUAUUCAUUUUGUCAAUAAUCAGGAAAAAUAAGGUGCAAAUUAAUUCAAAUAUGUUGUGAUACUCAAGACUUUAUAUGUUUCACUUCGUUUUAUUUUUAAAUGGUAACAUAUUUAAGGCUACAAAUAUACCUCUGAAUACAGCAUUACCUGUUUCUGAUACAUUUGAUAUAAUGUUUUAUUUCUUUCCUCUUGGGUACUUGUGGUUUCUACUUUGAUGUCUGUUUUGAACCAGGAGUUAGAGGGUAGAUUUCAUAAUUUGGCAAUAAUUAAAACAACAUCUUUUUAUUGUUGAUUUAUCUUUCAAUGAAGUAAAGUAAAAUAAAAUCCACUUAGGGAAGUGUAUCAUUAUUCUCUAAUGCUGUUAAUAAAAUACAUUGUCUAUCCGUGUGUCCCAUGAAUCUAGGAGAAAAAAAUUUAACUUACUGUGUUUUCAAAUUUUUCGUAUCUUUGCCUCAAUUGUAUACUUGAACUGUCAUAUUUUGAAAUAGGAUUGAGACUAUCCCACCAUCAAUGUUUUUGUUAAUUUCUUCUUGUAUUUCUGGGAUAUUGGCUACUUUAUUUUUUUAUUCCAGUAAGAUUUAUU